GGGCGGGGGUAGGGCUGGACUUCCACAUUGGUGAUCCGUUCCUGGUUCAGGGAUCACACGUUGGGUAGCAAGAGCUCGAGGCAGGUGGGAGAGAAGGACGCAUCCUCAACUGAAGCUAAGAGGGGCUCCAUACCCAAGCACUUAGAGCUAAUAGUGAACUCCCCACUCUGCUCUCUUCCCUAAGCCCGGUCUACCAGCUGCCCUUGUGGUCACCUUUCCUGUCCUAUGACAGACGUUUCCUUCCCUUCCAGAGCUGCCAAUGCUUUUUCAGUUACAAGAAGGGCAAAGCAAGGAGAAAGCAAGUCUGGCUCACUCAUUGGAAGGAUACUCGGCAGUUAACAGAAUUUGAAGAGCUGACCCGCCGGUCUUGGGAGAGAUGGACACCAAGGCGGUUCAGGGGCCUGAGCAGCCAGAGCAGCAGGCCCUUCCCGGCACAUCCCAUUAGAUGCCUGAAUUCUGUCUCCUCAAGGUACAAGUUUGGGCCAGCAUCAUAACUGUUACGGAAUUUGAGACUAUGAGAACAAUACGGAACUUGAAGGCAGGGGGAACUAUGAAAGCACUUAAUUAUAUUCACUAAAAUAUAAUGAUGGCGACAGAACAAGGAAAGACACACCAAGGAUGUUUUAUAUCUCUUAAAUGAGAAAUGGAAUGCGCAGCCGCCCCUGAGAGCUGGAACUGACGUUCUCAGAUUGCCAACAUGACAUCUGGACAGAAAUUCACAUUUAUUAGGAUAUCGUGUGGGGAUAACUCAAGCAGUCAGAAAGAGGUUCCUCUCUCUCUCUCUCUCUCUCUCUCUCUUUUUU